rnacentral:tRNA from 1 species
GGUGGUAUAGCUCAGUGGUAGAGUGAGUGCCUAGCAUAUGCAAGCUCUGAGUUCAAUCCCCAGUACCACAG